UACGAAGGGGGCUAGCGUUGUUCGGAAUUACUGGGCGUAAAGCGCGCGCAGGCGGCCAAUCAAGUCAGGGGUGAAAGCCCGGAGCUCAACUCCGGAAUUGCCUUUAAAACUGCAUCGCUAGAAUUGUGGAGAGGUAAGUGGAAUUCCGAGUGUAGAGGUGAAAUUCGUAGAUAUUCGGAAGAACACCAGUGGCGAAGGCGACUUACUGGACACAUAUUGACGCUGAGGUGCGAAAGCGUGGGGAGCAAACAGG
rnacentral:rRNA from 1 species